GAUGAACGCUGGCGGCGUGCCUAACACAUGCAAGUCGAGCGAACAGACGAGGAGCUUGUGCCUUUGACGUUAGCGGCGGGCGGGCGAGUAACAAGUGGAUCACCUACUUAUAUGACUGGGAUAAUUACGGAAAACCGGAGAUAAUACCGGAGAAUAUAUUGAACCGCAGGGUUCAAUAGAGCAAGACGGCUUUGGUGUCUCUAAUAGAUGGUUCCGCGCCGCCUUGGCUAGUUGGUAAGGUAACGGCUUACCAAGGCAACGAUGCGUAGCCGACCUGAGAGGGUGAUCGGCCACACUGGAACUGAGACACGGUCCAGACUCCUACGGGAGGCAGCAGUAGGGAAUCUUCCGCAAUGGGCGAAAGCCUGACGGAGCAACGCCGCGUGAGUGAUGAAGGUCUUCGGAUCGUAAAACUCUGUUAUUGGGGAAGAACAAAUGUGUAAUUAACUAUGGACGUCUUGACGGUACCUAAUCAAAAAGCCACGGCUAACUACGUG
rnacentral:rRNA from 1 species